rnacentral:lncRNA from 1 species
CCAUUACUGUCUAAGACAAAGCAUUGAAACCCAUCAAAAAUAGAAUUUAGUAAGGGGAUCUGUUAUAACACGCUACUUCCCAAUUCAAAUAAAUAAAUAAAUAAAAUAUAAAUAAUUAAACCAAUUAGGAUGUCACAUCCACAUAAUUUGAAGUUUAAAAGUUUACUUCAACUCAUAUAAAUCACAUUGUUACAGCAUAAUUUAAAAAAAAAAUGUUCGACAUCCAAA